UGAGUGAGUGGCGAACUGGUGAGUAACACGUGGGAAACCUGCCCAGAAGCGGGGGAUAACACCUGGAAACAGAUGCUAAUACCGCAUAACAACUUGGACCGCAUGGUCCGAGUUUGAAAGAUGGCUUCGGCUAUCACUUUUGGAUGGUCCCGCGGCGUAUUAGCUAGAUGGUGGGGUAACGGCUCACCAUGGCAAUGAUACGUAGCCGACCUGAGAGGGUAAUCGGCCACAUUGGGACUGAGACACGGCCCAAACUCCUACGGGAGGCAGCAGUAGGGAAUCUUCCACAAUGGACGAAAGUCUGAUGGAGCAACGCCGCGUGAGUGAAGAAGGGUUUCGGCUCGUAAAACUCUGUUGUUAAAGAAGAACAUAUCUGAGAGUAACUGUUCAGGUAUUGACGGUAUUUAACCAGAAAGCCACGGCUAACUACGUGCCAGCAGCCGCGGUAAUACGUAGGUGGCAAGCGUUGUCCGGAUUUAUUGGGCGUAAAGCGAGCGCAGGCGGUUUUUUAAGUCUGAUGUGAAAGCCUUCGGCUCAACCGAAGAAGUGCAUCGGAAACUGGGAAACUUGAGUGCAGAAGAGGACAGUGGAACUCCAUGUGUAGCGGUGAAAUGCGUAGAUAUAUGGAAGAACACCAGUGGCGAAGGCGGCUGUCUGGUCUGUAACUGACGCUGAGCUCGAAAGUAUGGGUAGCAAACAGGAUUAGAUACCCUGGUAGUCCAUACCGUAAACGAUGAAUGCUAAGUGUUGGAGGGUUUCCGCCCUUCAGUGCUGCAGCUAACGCAUUAGCAUUCCGCCUGGGGAGUACGCCGCAAGCUGAA
rnacentral:rRNA from 2 species